CCUACGGGAGGCAGCAGUAGGGAAUCUUCCGCAAUGGACGCAAGUCUGACGGAGCAACGCCGCGUGAGCGAUGAAGGUCUUCGGAUCGUAAAGCUCUGUUGUCAGGGAAGAACACGUGUGAGAGUAACUGCUCACACCUUGACGGUACCUGACCAGAAAGCCACGGCUAACUACGUGCCAGCAGCCGCGGUAAU
rnacentral:rRNA from 1 species